CUCCAGAAGUUACUGAAUCCUUACACUGGACGUGUCCCAGGCCAUGAACAAACACCUUGCUCAGUCAAGGAGCACGGCCUGUAGCACUCUUCCCACCUCCAUCAUCUCCUGACACUUUUUACUUUCCCCUUUUAUCCAGCUCAUGCACAAUUAGGCAAUGGUCCAACCUUGGAGCACUGGCAAGAGAACAGUAAGGGUGGUAAUUUCUGACUGGUGGGAGGUGACAAAAAGGUGGAGGUGGUAACCUCUUUGGUGGUACAGAUGGAUGCAGACAAGGAUGUCAGUCCACUGCUGUAAUAUGCACUGAAUACACUCAGAGGCACAUUCAGGUUCUUAUAUACAAAGGAAACUCUGCAUCCAAAUAAUUUUUUUUCUAUUGUUACAGAAGUUUAUUUAAAAAAAAAAAAAAAAAAGUGGUUUUUAACCUGCAAAGUGAAUUUAUAUAUAGUGAAAAGAAAGAUGCCUUCUGGAAUAACCUUUAACUACUGUUCUGUACAAGAUUUCCUCCCAUUUUGUGUCUUUAAGUCUUCGCAUAUGAAUAGCAGUUCCACUUUCUUUGCCCUACAAAAUAUGACAGAUUCUAGACAAAACAUGCCAACUUAAGUCAGAAGCAUGAGUUGUAGUGUUAUGUGCACCACCUAUGCACAAUAUGGUAAAGCAGCUUUUGACCAUCUUGAGCAGUUAAGAGGAUAAUGCAGAAAGGUAAUCUCCACAUUUACACACUCAGGUUUCCGUUUCUCCAGUUCCUGCUGUGUCCCCACGUCCCAGAGAACCGUAGGUAGGAGAUUUUGAUCUGCAGUGGCAGCCAGCUGUUGCUGUAUCCCAUGGAGUGCCCCUGCCCAGAAUAUUACAGGACUGAGCCCACAGUUCAGCCUUGCCCCCUUCUGUGCCCUCACACAGCUACUUGAUGCCUUUGUGUCACAUCUCCACUUUGCACAGAAGGGCUGGGACAAUCUGCCACUCUGACGUGGUUCUAGUGCUGUUUGUAGCCUUGCCAUGUUCAGCAAGGGCAGCUGUUCACCAAGAAGCAGAACUGGCUCUCUGGCUGUUCAGCUGAGCCACUGAUCUCUUUUCUGGGUUGGUGAAUGUGAGAUGGCCAUUUCUGGAUUGAUAACAAGCUGUUCCUUCCCCCCCCACUGCAUUCAUGAGACUUUUUGGCUGUGCUGUGCUCUCAAGCAUCAGAGAGGAAUGUGCUUCCAGCUGUCUUUCAAGAAUCUCAUUAGGUUUUCCCAGUCAAUUCUAUGAAGUUUCACAUUGGUGCCCAAAUACAAUUGGUUUGUAACUAUUUGGAGAAUUUUUAACUUCUGAGCCUACAUAACUCUGUGCUAGUCAAAUGAACACAGAGAUUAUAAAAUCAGUUUUCCAGGCACUUUCAAAGAUGUUUUUUUCUUAUGCUAAUAGAAAAAUAAGAAAAGGUUUAAGUGGGCUGUGUUAUUUUUCACAGAACAAUCUUGAGCAAAUUAAAAUGUAAAUUUUUAUACAAUCACUGCUUUUGGGUGACAAAUCUUUUGCUUAAGCCUUUAGAUGCAUCCUGCCUCUGUUUGAUUUUCACAUUUGAAGGCUUCAGAAGAACUUGCCUGAUCAGUUCUGUGAUCUCUUUUCUUAUUUCUUAUGCUGACUUAUCCAAUUUCUGCAAGAGUUUUUAUCUUGCUAAGCCAACAGUGAACUGAUCCAGUAGAAAGAAAAAAUAAUUCUCACAUGUUGGGUGAGUGAACUGAAUCAAAGGAGGGCAAGAGCCAUGGCUGGACUGCUCAGGUAUGGGGAAUUAGGUCCUCUGAAUUCUCCAUUAUCACCUCCAGGGAUGCACAGCUCUCAGGACCAGGUCUGGGCCCUGCUUUGGGAGCAGGGGUUCCACCCUCACCAACACUGCCCACACCUCAGUAAAACCUUCCUAACCUCAGAGGGACACAUACCUAAAGACCCCAGAAGUGAGGCCUAAGGACAUGAAAAGGACAAAAUAUGGAAAACAACCUCAACUCUUCAGUUUGCUUCAUGUCACUCUACAACUGCUAAACAAAAACCAUGUAAAUAAAAAAUAAACCAACUGAAAGUGAAUGUUAAAAUUUUCUUCAAUCUGACAUACUGUUCUCAGAAUUCAAACACCCACGACUACAGGAACUGAAACAACACAUCUGACCAGAGACACUGUAAAUAUCUGGUCAGAGAUACAUCAAUACUGAGUAACCUAGAAAAAAAUUAACAUUCAUCCAGGAAAUUAGUGGUUGACUUACGUCCUGGAGCAUUUUGAAGGUUAUCCAAACUACUGCAGCUGUUCUGUUAGCAUGUCCUUCAUCUGCAUUAAGAACCAUGCUCUGGACCUGGAAAAAGUGUUCAGCAAUGCAUGGAUGCACAGCAAAGAUUUAAAAUUGGAUCUUUUCUGUAUAUUGUCUCUGAAUAUUAAACACUUGAACCUUCUAAGACAAAUGCCCAAAGUAAUAUUUCAUUCAUAAUAAAUGCUGUAAUGAUGAGGGAAAUGUCAUAUGAUUUAUCAAGUACAUAAAGCAUUGUAGUAUUUAUAAAUAGUAUUUAACAACGAUUAAUAGAUUUUUUUAUAAAUAUAUAGAUGUUUCUCCCUGUGUAUGCACUUUAGACAACACUAUGUAAGAUAAUUAUAUAAAUCACAUAGCUAUAAUGGACAAUUAGGAACCCAAUUAUACUCCAACAUAUCAUUAUACUAUUAUAUAGUACUAAUUUACUGCCCUCUAAUACAUAUUUACUGCUACUGGUUUCCAGACUUUUGAGCUUGGAAUACCUUAAAAAUCUGCAAUUUUUUAAGUUACCAGGAAAAAACCCAAGUAUUUCUUUCUCUCCCCAACCCAAAUUUGGAAUUUUGCACCCAAACCUCAAAUACUACCAGAGGCCCAGAAACUAAAUUCUCACUGUCACUGCAGUAACAGGUUAAAAUUGCAGCACUGUGUGCCCUUGCAGUGCUGCCAAGAGGCAGCUUUAUCUCGCUUGAAAUUGAGAUUUAAGGCUUUGAGUGAGAUACAAAUCACCUGCCCAGCCAUCUAACUCACUGGACCUCAGCAUCAUGACUUUUAAAAUGCAGUUUUAAUAAUUUUAUACAUAUUUUCUCUAGGACUGGAAUCACAGUGUGCAAAGGUGUCUGGUCUUACCAGUUAAAAGGAUAAAACUCCUAAAAAAAGUUUUGUAUGCUGUUAAUAUUUCUAAUACCAUUUUGCAUUGUCCCAUGCAUAAAAUAUUAAGUAUUCCAGAAAAUAAUAUCUUCCAAAAUAGUUGUCUCAGGACUCCUGGAAAAGCCUGAAGAGCUCAGCAACAUCUUAGACAAUUUUGAUAAUGGCUCACCCCAAACUUAGACUAUCAAAUCUUUGUAGGACACCAUUGCAUGGCCCUUUUUACUAAAAGAGAGUGUUGUACUGGAGUAUUAGACAAAUGUGCUGAAAAAUGUUUCGUGAACUAUGGCUCAAGUGAUGGCAGCUGCUAUAAUCUGCACUCAGUUCACCUCUACAAGGAAAAUUACAACAAAAAUUGCACGACAGCAUUAAUAAAAAUUCCAAGAUUGGUUCUAUAUGCAGAAUCUACCUUAAAAUACGUCCACAGUGAAUGUUCCUUCCUCUUAUAGUCUGAUACGAGGAUCAAAUUCCUUCAAUGUUCAAUGAGAAGUCCAAUUUCUAGACAUAGUUGCAUGGAAAUAACUUCUGUAAACAGGGUGCGCUGCAAAGGUUUUAGAAGAAAUACCUACAGGCAUCCACUAUGAAAGAUCAGUUUGGAGAAAUUCAGGAUACACAUAAAAUGAUCAAAGCCUUUUAAUACCGUAUCAGUGAAACCAUCAAACUCUUGCUUAAAUGAACACACCUAGUGAUUGUCAAAGCAAAAAGUCCUUAUGUGCUGCAAAAACAGGAUUUCCCCUCAGUUAUUUUGGCUUAACUGAGGCUUUCAGAC